GUUAGUGUAGCAAAAUCUGGUUUUGCAAAAGACCUAAACUCUUUUUAUAGAAGUUCAAAUCCUCUCUCUAACU
rnacentral:tRNA from 1 species